rnacentral:lncRNA from 1 species
CCCUUAAAGGGCCCGGCGGGCGCGCAGGGUGCCUGAGGUGACGGCGCCCCGCAGCGAUGGGGUUGACCCUGCGCGCUGCUGCCCGCCCCGGACAGCUUCGUGGAGCUGCCCACAAGAGCGGGGCCGGCCAUCCCUCUUGCACUCAGGGAUCCCGAGGCCUUCCUGCUCGCCCUGAGGUGAGGAGUGGGGCAGAGAUCCCGCGGCCUGGAGGAGGCAGGUGGAGAAUCCUCAGAGCCCCAAGGCAUGGGCUUACUCCCACAUUGGAAGGGCAAGAAAAAAAGAUGCCUUUAAACCUGAGUAUCUCUACUGCAGCUGCCCCAUUUUUUGUGGGUGUCAUUUGUACAGCAGGCUGAAACUCUACAAGACAUACUUACACUCUGGAAAAGCUCUAUGUGCUUGGUGAGCUGUCAAACAAUUCCUGUUUUGGAACUGCAGUCUCUUCAGGAUCAGAGGACUGUGGUAGGAACUGGCACUGUUUCUUGUCUUCACUAGUGAAAAACAUGUACACUUUUUUUUGAGAGAUUGACUAAAAUCCCUCUCUUUAUGUGAAAUUCUGCUGGAAAGAAGAUGCUAGUUUUUACUUCAUUUUUUUAACUUAAAUUAGCUACAUUUUAAGUUGAAUCCACCUGUAAUGUCACAGUAAGGUUUUAGACUGUCUAUAAUGUCAUAAAGAUAAUCUUGCCUACUUCAGGCCUUUGUGAUAUGCUCUGCAGCUAAUAAAGUGAUGUUUGAAAUUUCUGAUGAA